UACGUAGGGGGCAAACGUUGUUCGGAAUUACUGGGCGUAAAGCGCGUGUAGGCUGCUCUGUGUGUCGGAUGUGAAAGCCCCGGGCUCAACCCGGGAAGUGCACUCGAAACUGGGAGGCUAGAGUAUCGGAGAGGUUGGUGGAAUUCUCGGUGUAGAGGUGAAAUUCGUAGAUAUCGAGAGGAACACCGGUGGCGAAGGCGGCCAACUGGACGAAUACUGACGCUGAGACUCGAAAGCGUGGGGAGCAAACAGG
rnacentral:rRNA from 1 species